UAGUGAAAUAAGCUUAAAU
rnacentral:tRNA from 1 species